UACGGGGGGAGCAAGCGUUGUUCGGAAUCACUGGGCGUAAAGGGAGUGUAGGCGGUUCGGUAAGUGGGAUGUGAAAUCCCCGGGCUCACCCCGGGACCUGCAUCCCAUACUGCUGAGCUUGAGUACAGGAGAGGGUGGGGGAAUUCCUGGUGUAGCGGUGAAAUGCGUAGAUAUCAGGAGGAACACCGGUGGCGAAGGCGCCCACCUGGCCUGCUACUGACGCUGAUGCUCGAAAGCUAGGGGAGCAAACGGG
rnacentral:rRNA from 1 species